UCUGUGAUAGGACAGUGGCCUCCCGGGCUUGUUCUGACGGAGAUGUCCUGGCCUGGGGCGUGUGGCCUCAGAUUCCAGCACCAAAGAGACUUGGAGAGGAAAGAUGCAAAGAGCUCCCACUCUGAAUCCCUGAAGAAAGGAAAAGAGAACAAAGUUUACACGGAAAAUCUUGACUUUCUAAACAGCAUGUUGAGACAGCCCCAGAGUGCACAGGUUUGCUGCAGGCCUGGGACUCGCCCGGGGUUGCCACAGCGUGGAGACUCAUCUAGAAAGAAUAUAACAAGUCUCAUUCUCCCAGAUGACGAAUUCAGUGUUUCAGCUAAUAGUCUGCUCCUGGCGGGGAGAUACCUCCUUUGACCCUCCAAUCCACUCUGACAGCCGGAGCAUGCAGCUGCACAGAAGGACACAGCCACACAGAAGGACACAGCCACAGUCCAGGCUGGGGAGACAGCUUUGCAGAUCGACCGCCCACCGAGCAGGCUUCCCUCCUGCAAGGAGAGACUCGGGCUGCUAAUGUGUUAAAUCACAUUAAUGUAGGAAAUAAACAUGUAAUAAAUAAUAAUGGUGCAAUAAUAGUGGUUGUCAUUGCCAUGGUUAGUUCUGUUGAAAGUAUGAGCUCUACGCUAUGGAUUUCUUAGGAUAAUUUUGCCCUUACUUAAAAGAA